rnacentral:rRNA from 1 species
GAAAGUCCGGGGCUUAACCCCGGAUCUGCGGUGGGUACGGGCAGACUAGAGUGCAGUAGGGGAGACUGGAAUUCCUGGUGUAGCGGUGGAAUGCGCAGAUAUCAGGAGGAACACCGAUGGCGAAGGCAGGUCUCUGGGCUGUAACUGACGCUGAGGAGCGAAAGCAUGGGGAGCGAACAGGAUUAGAUACCCUGGUAGUCCAUGCCGUAAAACGUUGGGCACUAGGUGUGGGGACCAUUCCACGGUUUCCCGCGCCGCAGCUUACGCAUUAAGUGCCCCGCCUGGGGAGUACGGCCGCAAGGCUAAAACUCAAAGGAAUUGACGGGGGCCCGCACAAGCGGCGGAGCAUGCGGAUUAAUUCGAUGCAACGCGAAGAACCUUACCAAGGCUUGACAUGUUCUCGAUCGCCGUAGAGAUACGGUUUCCCCUUUGGGGCGGGUUCACAGGUGGUGCAUGGUUGUCGUCAGCUCGUGUCGUGAGAUGUUGGGUUAAGUCCCGCAACGAGCGCAACCCUCGUUCCA